CAGCAGUGGGGAAUAUUGCACAAUGGGCGCAAGCCUGAUGCAGCGACGCCGCGUGGGGGAUGACGGCCUUCGGGUUGUAAACUCCUUUCGCUAGGGACGAAGCUUUUUGUGACGGUACCUAGAUAAGAAGCACCGGCUAACUACGUGCCAGCAGCCGCGGUAAUACGUAGGGUGCGAGCGUUGUCCGGAAUUACUGGGCGUAAAGGGCUCGUAGGUGGUUUGUCGCGUCGUCUGUGAAAUUCCGGGGCUUAACUCCGGGCGUGCAGGCGAUACGGGCAUAACUUGAGUACUGUAGGGGUAACUGGAAUUCCUGGUGUAGCGGUGAAAUGCGCAGAUAUCAGGAGGAACACCGAUGGCGAAGGCAGGUUACUGGGCAGUUACUGACGCUGAGGAGCGAAAGCAUGGGUAGCGAACAGGAUUAGAUACCCUGGUAGUCCAUGCCGUAAACGGUGGGCGCUAGGUGUGAGGGUCUUUUCACGACUUUCGUGCCGUAGCUAACGCAUUAAGCGCCCCGCCUGGGGAGUACGGCCGCAAGGCUAAAACUCAAAGGAAUUGACGGGGGCCCGCACAAGCGGCGGAGCAUGUGGAUUAAUUCGAUGCAACGCGAAGAACCUUACCUGGGCUUGACAUACACCGGAUCGGGCUAGAGAUAGUCUUUCCCUUUGUGGCUGGUGUACAGGUGGUGCAUGGUUGUCGUCAGCUCGUGUCGUGAGAUGUUGGGUUAAGUCCCGCAACGAGCGCAACCCUUGUCUUAUGUUGCCAGCAUUUGGUUGGGGACUCAUGAGAGACUGCCGGGGUCAACUCGGAGGAAGGUGGGGAUGACGUCAAAUCAUCAUGCCCCUUAUGUCCAGGGCUUCACACAUGCUACAAUGGUCGGUACAACGCGCAGCGACACUGUGAGGUGGAGCGAAUCGCUGAAAGCCGGCCUUAGUUCGGAUUGGGGUCUGCAACUCGACCCCAUGAAGUCGGAGUCGCUAGUAAUCGCAGAUCAGCAAUGCUGCGGUGAAUACGUUCCCGGGCCUUGUACACACCGCCCGUCACGUCAUGAAAGUUGGUAACACCCGAAGCCGGUGGCCCAAACUUGUUAGGGAGCCGUCGAAGGUGGGAUCGGCGAUUGGGACGAAGUCGUAACAAGGUACCCGUACCGGAAGGUGCGGGUG
rnacentral:rRNA from 1 species